rnacentral:piRNA from 1 species
CAAAGACAGCCAGGGCUAUACAGAGAAA